UACGUAGGGUGCAAGCGUUGUCCGGAAUUAUUGGGCGUAAAGAGCGUGUAGGCGGCCCGAUUAGUCCGCUGUGAAAGUCCAGGGCUCAACCCUGGAAUGCCGGUGGAUACUGUCGGGCUAGAGUCCGGAAGGGGCGAGUGGAAUUCCUGGUGUAGCGGUGAAAUGCGCAGAUAUCAGGAGGAACACCAAUGGCGAAGGCAGCUCGCUGGGACGUGACUGACGCUGAGACGCGAAAGCGUGGGGAGCAAACAGGAUUAGAUACCCUGGUAGUCCACGCUGUAAACGAUGGCAACUAGAUGUGGGGGGUGUCGACUCCCCCCGUGUCGAAGCUAACGCAUUAAGUUGCCCGCCUGGGGAGUACGGCCGCAAGGCUAAA
rnacentral:rRNA from 1 species